rnacentral:rRNA from 1 species
UACAGAGGUCCCAAGCGUUGUUCGGAUUCACUGGGCGUAAAGGGUGCGUAGGUGGUGAGGUAAGUCGGAUGUGAAAUCUCCGAGCUCAACUCGGAAACUGCAUUGGAAACUACCUUGCUCGAGGGUUGGAGGGGGGACUGGAAUGCUUGGUGUAGCAGUGAAAUGCGUAGAUAUCAAGCGGAACACCAGUGGCGAAGGCGAGUCCCUGGACAACUCCUGACACUGAUGCACGAAGGCCAGGGGAGCAAACGGG